UCGAUUAGCCAUGCGAGUCGCGAGCCUUAGGGGCUCGGCAUACUGCUCAGUAACACGUGGAUAACCUGACCCUAUUGUCUGGAAUAACCUCGGGAAACUGAGUAACAAGGCCGGAUAGCCCACAAUGCCUGGAACGGUUUGUGGGUGAAGAUAGGAUGGGUCUGCGGCGUAUCAGGUUCGUCACGGGGUGUAAUGGACCUCCUAGCCAUCGACGCGUACGGGUGUUGGGAGACAUAGCCCGGAGAUGGAUUCUGAGACACGAAUCCAGACCCUACGGGGGUGCAGCAGGCGCGAAAACUUCCCACUGCAGGAAAUGGUGAUGAGGGAACUCCAAGGGCUUACCACUAUUGUGGUACCUUUCCUGGACUAUUAAUCCGCCUUGAAUAAGGGCUGGGAAAAGAACGGUGGCCAGCCGCUGCGGGUAAUACCGGCACUUCAGGGGGUCGCCCGUUUUUUUGGGCCCAAAACAUCCGUAACCGGGUUGGAAAACCGGGGGUAAAUCCACCGACUUAACGGGUUAAUUUUGCGAAACUUCCAAUAUAGGCCCGGAGAGGGUGGGGGUACUCUUGGGUAGGGAAAUCUCGGUCUCCUUAAGGACCCCGUGCGAAGCGCCCAC
rnacentral:rRNA from 1 species